AACUUAUCGCUCUAUUUCUCGUGAAAGGCUACUGUAAUAGCCGAGGUAUUCAAAAGAAUCCUGCAUUGAUGGUAUGCAUGCAAGGAAACCUCAACGGAUCAGCGAUGGGUGAGCAAUUUCGUUUAUCUUAGAACCGUACUUGACAACUUCAAUUCGCCAUAUUUAGCGCAUUUUCGAUCGAAUGCUUUCCUCGCCGACAAUUAAUCCGCCUUUGUUUCUUUCUGUUCUCAGGUAUUUCGAGAAACACCAAGCCCAUCCGUAUCAGAAUUCCAAGUAUAGCUCAUCAAAGGAUAAGUAUGCAGAUAAGUUCAAUCAUGAAAGGAUGCGGGAUUCUCCAAACGGGAACACGUAUCGAUCUGUUAGUCCCGAAUCACAAAGUCCGUAUAGCAAAAAUGCAUAUGUUUCGAAAACGCGAGAAAAGGAGAGGAAACAGAGACUUCAAAUCUCGGGACAAAUAUUCAGGUGAGAAUCCAAUUGGAUGCCAGACCAAUCCUAGUAUGACAAAUUUUUACUGUAGCUUACAGGACUUGAGUCUUAGCUCACAGCCUAACUAGAG
rnacentral:lncRNA from 1 species